GACGAACGCUGGCGGCGUGCCUAAUACAUGCAAGUAGAACGCUGAAGGAGGAGCUUGCUUCUCUGGAUGAGUUGCGAACGGGUGAGUAACGCGUAGGUAACCUGCCUGGUAGCGGGGGAUAACUAUUGGAAACGAUAGCUAAUACCGCAUAAUAGUAGAUGUUGCAUGACAUUUGCUUAAAAGGUGCAAUUGCAUCACUACCAGAUGGACCUGCGUUGUAUUAGCUAGUUGGUGAGGUAACGGCCCACCAAGGCAACGAUACAUAGCCGACCUGAGAGGGUGAUCGGCCACACUGAGACUGGGAAACGGCCCAGACUCCUACGGGAGGAAGCAGUAGGGAAUCUUCGGCAAUGGACGGAAGUCUGACCGAGCAACGCCGCGUGAGUGAAGAAGGUUUUCGGAUCGUAAAGCUCUGUUGUAAGAGAAGAACGAGUGUGAGAGUGGAAAGUUCACACUGUGACGGUAUCUUACCAGAAAGGGACGGCUAACUACGUG
rnacentral:rRNA from 1 species